rnacentral:rRNA from 1 species
AGCGUACACGGUGGAUGCCCUGGCAGUCAGAGGCGAUGAAGGACGUGCUAAUCUGCGAUAAGCGUCGGUAAGGUGAUAUGAACCGUUAUAACCGGCGAUUUCCGAAUGGGGAAACCCAGUGUGUUUCGACACACUAUCAUUAACUGAAUCCAUAGGUUAAUGAGGCGAACCGGGGGAACUGAAACAUCUAAGUACCCCGAGGAAAAGAAAUCAACCGAGAUUCCCCCAGUAGCGGCGAGCGAACGGGGAGCAGCCCAGAGCCUGAAUCAGUGUGUGUGUUAGUGGAAGCGUCUGGAAAGGCGCGCGAUACAGGGUGACAGCCCCGUACACAAAAAUGCACAUGCUGUGAGCUCGAUGAGUAGGGCGGGACACGUGGUAUCCUGUCUGAAUAUGGGGGGACCAUCCUCCAAGGCUAAAUACUCCUGACUGACCGAUAGUGAACCAGUACCGUGAGGGAAAGGCGAAAAGAACCCCGGCGAGGGGAGUGAAAAAGAACCUGAAACCGUGUACGUACAAGCAGUGGGAGCACGCUUAGGCGUGUGACUGCGUACCUUUUGUAUAAUGGGUCAGCGACUUAUAUUCUGUAGCAAGGUUAACCGAAUAGGGGAGCCGAAGGGAAACCGAGUCUUAACUGGGCGUUAAGUUGCAGGGUAUAGACCCGAAACCCGGUGAUCUAGCCAUGGGCAGGUUGAAGGUUGGGUAACACUAACUGGAGGACCGAACCGACUAAUGUUGAAAAAUUAGCGGAUGACUUGUGGCUGGGGGUGAAAGGCCAAUCAAACCGGGAGAUAGCUGGUUCUCCCCGAAAGCUAUUUAGGUAGCGCCUCGUGAAUUCAUCUCCGGGGGUAGAGCACUGUUUCGGCAAGGGGGUCAUCCCGACUUACCAACCCGAUGCAAACUGCGAAUACCGGAGAAUGUUAUCACGGGAGACACACGGCGGGUGCUAACGUCCGUCGUGAAGAGGGAAACAACCCAGACCGCCAGCUAAGGUCCCAAAGUCAUGGUUAAGUGGGAAACGAUGUGGGAAGGCCCAGACAGCCAGGAUGUUGGCUUAGAAGCAGCCAUCAUUUAAAGAAAGCGUAAUAGCUCACUGGUCGAGUCGGCCUGCGCGGAAGAUGUAACGGGGCUAAACCAUGCACCGAAGCUGCGGCAGCGACGCUUAUGCGUUGUUGGGUAGGGGAGCGUUCUGUAAGCCUGUGAAGGUGUGCUGUGAGGCAUGCUGGAGGUAUCAGAAGUGCGAAUGCUGACAUAAGUAACGAUAAAGCGGGUGAAAAGCCCGCUCGCCGGAAGACCAAGGGUUCCUGUCCAACGUUAAUCGGGGCAGGGUGAGUCGACCCCUAAGGCGAGGCCGAAAGGCGUAGUCGAUGGGAAACAGGUUAAUAUUCCUGUACUUGGUGUUACUGCGAAGGGGGGACGGAGAAGGCUAUGUUGGCCGGGCGACGGUUGUCCCGGUUUAAGCGUGUAGGCUGGUUUUCCAGGCAAAUCCGGAAAAUCAAGGCUGAGGCGUGAUGACGAGGCACUACGGUGCUGAAGCAACAAAUGCCCUGCUUCCAGGAAAAGCCUCUAAGCAUCAGGUAACAUCAAAUCGUACCCCAAACCGACACAGGUGGUCAGGUAGAGAAUACCAAGGCGCUUGAGAGAACUCGGGUGAAGGAACUAGGCAAAAUGGUGCCGUAACUUCGGGAGAAGGCACGCUGAUAUGUAGGUGAAGUCCCUCGCGGAUGGAGCUGAAAUCAGUCGAAGAUACCAGCUGGCUGCAACUGUUUAUUAAAAACACAGCACUGUGCAAACACGAAAGUGGACGUAUACGGUGUGACGCCUGCCCGGUGCCGGAAGGUUAAUUGAUGGGGUUAGCCGCAAGGCGAAGCUCUUGAUCGAAGCCCCGGUAAACGGCGGCCGUAACUAUAACGGUCCUAAGGUAGCGAAAUUCCUUGUCGGGUAAGUUCCGACCUGCACGAAUGGCGUAAUGAUGGCCAGGCUGUCUCCACCCGAGACUCAGUGAAAUUGAACUCGCUGUGAAGAUGCAGUGUACCCGCGGCAAGACGGAAAGACCCCGUGAACCUUUACUAUAGCUUGACACUGAACAUUGAGCCUUGAUGUGUAGGAUAGGUGGGAGGCUUGGAAGUGUGGACGCCAGUCUGCAUGGAGCCGACCUUGAAAUACCACCCUUUAAUGUUUGAUGUUCUAACGUUGACCCGUAAUCCGGGUUGCGGACAGUGUCUGGUGGGUAGUUUGACUGGGGCGGUCUCCUCCUAAAGAGUAACGGAGGAGCACGAAGGUUGGCUAAUCCUGGUCGGACAUCAGGAGGUUAGUGCAAUGGCAUAAGCCAGCUUGACUGCGAGCGUGACGGCGCGAGCAGGUGCGAAAGCAGGUCAUAGUGAUCCGGUGGUUCUGAAUGGAAGGGCCAUCGCUCAACGGAUAAAAGGUACUCCGGGGAUAACAGGCUGAUACCGCCCAAGAGUUCAUAUCGACGGCGGUGUUUGGCACCUCGAUGUCGGCUCAUCACAUCCUGGGGCUGAAGUAGGUCCCAAGGGUAUGGCUGUUCGCCAUUUAAAGUGGUACGCGAGCUGGGUUUAGAACGUCGUGAGACAGUUCGGUCCCUAUCUGCCGUGGGCGCUGGAGAACUGAGGGGGGCUGCUCCUAGUACGAGAGGACCGGAGUGGACGCAUCACUGGUGUUCGGGUUGUCAUGCCAAUGGCACUGCCCGGUAGCUAAAUGCGGAAGAGAUAAGUGCUGAAAGCAUCUAAGCACGAAACUUGCCCCGAGAUGAGUUCU